CCUACGGGAGGCAGCAGUGAGGAAUAUUGGUCAAUGGACGAGAGUCUGAACCAGCCAAGUAGCGUGAAGGAUGACUGCCCUAUGGGUUGUAAACUUCUUUUAUAUGGGAAUAAAACGUUCCACGUGUGGGAUUUUGUAUGUACCAUAUGAAUAAGGAUCGGUUAACUCCGUGCCAGCAGCCGCGGUAAUACGGAGGAUCCGAGCGUUAUCCGGAUUUAUUGGGUUUAAAGGGAGCGUAGGUGGAUUGUUAAGUCAGUUGUGAAAGUUUGCGGCUCAACCGUAAAAUUGCAGUUGAAACUGGCAGUCUUGAGUACAGUAGAGGUGGGCGGAAUUCGUGGUGUAGCGGUGAAAUGCUUAGAUAUCACGAAGAACUCCGAUUGCGAAGGCAGUUCACUGGACUGCAACUGACACUGAGGCUCGAAAGUGUGGGUAUCAAACAGGAUUAGAUACCCUAGUAGUC
rnacentral:rRNA from 1 species